rnacentral:rRNA from 1 species
ACCUGCGGAAGGAUCAUUAUCGAGUUUGAAAGUAAGAGGAAGAGUGCGGUUUGAUGCUGGCGUGAAAGCGCACUGUGCACGGCCGCUUCUCUUUUUCUUACGCUCAAUCCACUCAACCCCAUGUGCACCCACGAGGAGCUAGUAGUCGGCGUUGUUAGUCUGUUCGCGUGAAGUAGUCUUGAUUCAUUAAGGCGAAAGCUUACGGGCGUUUAGUCGACGAAUGCUUCGUUUUAUUAUCAACCAUUUGGUGUUUCUGUAUUAUGGAAAUAUGAGAUAAUUAAAAAAGUACAACUUUCAACAACGGAUCUCUUGGCUCUCGCAUCGAUGAAGAACGCAGCGAAAUGCGAUAAGUAAUGUGAAUUGCAGAAUUCAGUGAAUCAUCGAAUCUUUGAACGCACCUUGCGCCCCUUGGUAUUCCGAGGGGCAUGCCUGUUUGAGUGUCAUGUUCAUCUCAACUCCCUUGUCCUUUUUUAAUUAAAAGGACAUGGAACGUUGGACUUGGAGGUUGCUGGACCCGCCCCGUGGUCGGCUCCUCUUAAAUUUAUUAGCUGGGCUUUGGCUCGCGUUGACGGUGUGAUAG